GAUGAACGCUGGCUACAGGCUUAACACAUGCAAGUCGAGGGGAAACGACGGGGAAGCUUGCUUCCCCGGGCGUCGACCGGCGCACGGGUGAGUAACGCGUAUCCAACCUGCCUCUGACUGAGGGAUAACCCGUCGAAAGUCGGCCUAAUACCUCAUGGUAUCGUCUGCGGGCAUCCAACGACGAUUAAAGAUUUCAUCGGUCAGGGAUGGGGAUGCGUCUGAUUAGCUUGUUGGCGGGGUAACGGCCCACCAAGGCUACGAUCAGUAGGGGUUCUGAGAGGAAGGUCCCCCACAUUGGAACUGAGACACGGUCCAAACUCCUACGGGAGGCAGCAGUGAGGAAUAUUGGUCAAUGGGCGAGAGCCUGAACCAGCCAAGUAGCGUGCAGGAAGACGGCCCUAUGGGUUGUAAACUGCUUUUGUAAGGGAAGAAUAAGGAGUACGUGUACUUUGAUGACGGUACCUUACGAAUAAGCAUCGGCUAACUCCGUGCCAGCAGCCGCGGUAAUACGGAGGAUGCGAGCGUUAUCCGGAAUCAUUGUGUUUAAAGGGUCCGUACGCGGUCUGAUAAGUCAGAGGUGAAAGCGCUUAUCUCAACUAAGCAACUGUCUUUGAAACUGUCACUCUUGAAUGAUUGUGAAGUAUUUGGAAUGUGUAGUGUAGCGGUGAUAUGCUUAUAUAUCACACAAAACACCGAUCGCGAGCGCAUAUUACUCACAUUUUAUUGACUCUGAUGGACAAAAGCGUGGGGAGCAAACAGGAUUAUAUACCCUGGUAGUCCAAGGGCGAAUUCCACUUUGGGGCUGCAGCCCGGGGGAUCCACUAUUUCUAGAGCGGCCGCCCCGCGGAGAGCUCCAAAUUCCCCUAAUAAUGGAGUCGAAAUACGCGCGCUCUCCUGGCGCGCCUUUUUACAAACA
rnacentral:rRNA from 1 species